UGGGGAAUAUUGGACAAUGGGCGCAAGCCUGAUCCAGCCAUGCCGCGUGAGUGAUGAAGGCCUUAGGGUUGUAAAGCUCUUUCGCCGGUGAAGAUAAUGACGGUAACCGGAGAAGAAGCCCCGGCUAACUUCGUGCCAGCAGCCGCGGUGAUACGAAGGGGGCUAGCGUUGCUCGGAAUUACUGGGCGUAAAGCGCACGUAGGCGGUUUCUUAAGUCGGGGGUGAAAUCCUGGAGCUCAACUCCAGAACUGCCUUCGAUACUGGGAAACUUGAGUUCGGGAGAGGUGAGUGGAACUGCGAGUGUAGAGGUGAAAUUCGUAGAUAUUCGCAAGAACACCAGUGGCGAAGGCGGCUCACUGGCCCGAUACUGACGCUGAGGUGCGAAAGCGUGGGGAGCAAACA
rnacentral:rRNA from 1 species